AUCCCCAGCUGGCUCAGAAUUGGACCCCAUCUCUGCCAUCUGCCAACUGUGUACCUAAGCAGAUCACCUGCAUAUCUCCUCUCUAGAGAGGAACAUAAAGCCUCAUGCUCUUACAUGUUCAUCAGGAGAAUGACUAGGGUUAGAAGGUUUGAAGAGAUGUCAGCCUCAUGCACUAGGCCCGUUAUGGGUUAUACUGUUUCUCCCCCUCCCCAAAAUAUGGAAGCCCUAUACCUUUGAAUGUGACCAUAUUUGGAAAUAGGGUCUUUGCAGAUGUGUUUAAAUUGAGGUAAUUAGGGUGGGUCCUAAUCUGACUGUGUCCUCAUACAAAGGAGAAAUUUGGACACAAGAGGCCCACACAUGGAGAACCUUGUGAAGAUGGAGGGUUGAGGGAUGCAUCUGCAAGCCAAGGAAUGCCAGAGUCACCAGCUGCCACCAGAAACCAGGAAGAGGAAAUGGGCACACCAGCCCAGCACCCAGGUGUACAGUGAGGAGCCCAGGAGAUGCAUGCUGCACCCAGGGGUGCAGGAGUGAAACCAGCAAGACCAGCCUUCAAGAUUGUUACUAGCCGAAAAGGAAUAAUGCUCACGAAGCUCAGAGCCUGAGCAGGCCCUGGGUCGAUGGCAGCUAGGUUAUUCCUCCUCCAACUCCCUCGGCCUUCCCCCUGUCAGGGGGAGGGGAAAGGAAAUGUGUUUUCUGCUGAGUAAUGCAGUAAAAAAAAAAAAAAAAAAAAAAAAAAAAUCUUGGAAAAACAGUAUGAAUUCUGACAUCUUCCAGUGUGUGCAACACUAAAUAUUUUAGGUAACCCACAAAGUGAAUGCACAGACACCCAUCUCCAAGAUGACUCAACCCUCUUAUUAUUGGAUUCUGGAUGAAGCCCCCACUCCACAGCUGGGCCAGCCAACCGUGGGGCUGAAGCCUGCAGGGUGCCCCGCUGACGGCGGCAGGGGGGUCUGCAUUCCGCCCGCAAUUCUCAGAUCCCCAGCGCCACCGCCACCGCAUGAAGACCGCCCCCGCUGCCGAUGCCAAGGAAGUGGUGUUGCCGUUCAUAAAUAUUUAAGGGACGCAUCUUGAAACACACCGGGGGAUUACUGGAGAGUGUGGAAAACAGACGGGCGCAGAGGAAGCUCAAGGUCAUUAAGGAUGUGAGAAAAAGAUACAAGCCACCCACGGAAUCACUUGUGACAGGAUGCAGAGGGACACCCCCGCUGCAGCAGCGACUGCCGACGCUGGGGGCCAUUCAGACAAACUUGGUCUCUCCUUCAGGGACAUCCUUCCUGUUCUGCGGGGGGCCACGAAAGACUUGUUCACGUGCCAGGCCCACCCCAGACCCUCUCAGGGCCUUGAGGGCAACCUGCUACCCGGUGGAGGGGGUGCAGUUUGCUCACCCAAACCCUUAACUCACAAAGAGGAGGUGUGUGAAUCUCAGAAACUUCAGCAGCUCUCCAGCUCUCCAUCAGGGCAGCCAUAAAGCACAAAGGGCUCGGGAGAGCCGGGCUGGAACCUUCUCUGAAUCUGCCUAACUAUGGCCCCUCCAGCAUCUGAGAUAGGGGGAGAGCGUUCAGCAGCAGCCCCAGCCACACCCCGACUCACGGCUCUGCACCGGUGAGUGGGAACAUGCAACUGGGAAAAUGUUUAGGUUUCCUUAAUUUGAGAAACAUCUCAGCCUGUGUUUAUUCUCAGCAUAAAUACACCUCCAAUUAAUUAAACGAGCACUCUUCCUCGUUGACACUAACCUCUUCAGAAGCCUAGGCUUUCGGCCGCUGCCGGGUGAUUCAUCCAGCAAUCCCAGUGCAGCGGAGUCUUACAGAACCCUCUCCCCAUCACUGGUUACCUAGCAACCAGCCUAGCAACCUCGGAGCCAAGAGAUUCAUCCCCGAGUGAUAACCAUAAAGUAACAUCCAAAAAGACAUCUCGUCUCAAGGAUGCCAUCCAAAGGUAUAUAAAGAGGAGGCGCAGAGCAGCCGGCUUCUUGCUCCUGAAGUGCACAAAUUAGAGACAAAGAGGGACACGUUAUUUACUUGUUGCUUCAACAGCCGAAAAGACGUGAUUUUAUCCUUGCAAUUCACACGUGGAAAUGAAAAGGACAGAGGAACGGCAGGGCUGGGCGCCACGCAGAAGCGGCCCGGUCACUGGCAGGGUGAGGAAGAGGUUCUGACCAGACCAAAGCUGUGACGGAGCCCCGAGCGUGGCGCCAGGUGGAGGCAGAUCCUUUCUCCCCACCUCUUGUCACAGGUUCAUCUCAGACACCACCUUUCCCCACACGCUCCCCAACCCUCGGCCAGCUGCCGCCUUACAGGAGAAGCGUGCCCUAUUGUGUGCUCCUUUCAAAGAUGCCAGACACAUAAUUGGGCAAUAAAAGGCUGGGAGAACAUUCCAGAAGGGUGAACGCCCUUAGCAUUUCCAAAAGGUGCCAGCUCUCGUGAGCCUGCCCUGCCCCUGGGCUAGAAUGUGUCUCCAUCCACAAAGGGCCACAUACUUAGUGUAUGACCUGGAGGGCUCAUCACAGUGCACAUUCCCAAGGCCCCUCCGUUAAAAAUCAAACUUCAGGUGAUUCCAACGCAGGUGGUCCCAGAGCACACUUAGAGCAACAGUGCCCUGGAGGCCACCUCUCACUCCCAGGCCCCACGGCAGGUGCAUGGGGAACCAGGUAAAUCUUCCCUGUUCCGAAGGGUGUUGGAGCCAAAACCUGAUGUGCCCACAGAACACAGGGUGUUCAGCUGCAUAACGCCUGCAGGCCUCCUGGUCAGGUUGGCCUGGCCACCCGGUUCAGGUCACACUCUGCUGACUGUGACCUUGGGGGUCGUCUGCCCAACCGGGUGGGAAGUGGUGAGUUAACACCCGGAAAGGGCUUACAUCCACAUAUGGCCUAGGGCGAGGGCUCCAUAGGGAGCUGCCUUACUCAAUAAGUGAGGGUCCCACAGGCAAACCCUGGAAAUCUCACCAGGUCCCUGCGCACUCUGGGCCAGCAGCAUGGCUAGUCACCCGGUGACCUAUGCCACCCUGCUGGACCUCACCAGGACACCUGGUCACACCUGAAGAGAACCACAGCCAAGAACAGCCCCUCAGAGGGGAGCCUGGACUCCAUGACAUGGAAGGAAGACACCAGAAUAUGAGGCUCACACUGCAAAAGACUCAAGUGUGUGGCCUGCCACCUAUCCCAAGACUGCUGGGAAGGAGGGUGACUUGUGUUCUGUGUGGCUCGAGGAGCAGAUGCAGGAUCCCAGGAAGUGGUCACCAGGAGAGUUUUCAAAUCAAGAAAGGCAAAGGAUUCUUAGAAGCACAAGGGGCACCUGGGUUUGAAGCACCUUGUGCUUAGAAGCACAAGGCUCAGUCGGUUGAGCGGCCGACUCUUGAUUUUGGCUCAGGUCAUGAU